rnacentral:misc_RNA from 1 species
UUGCAUUCUCAGUCCCUCUUUUUUCUUCCUUUUUUCAUCUCCGGCAGCUCAGUUUUGCUCACUCCGGCAGCUCAGCUCUGCUUACUCCGGCAGAGUUCAAGGGUUUCAAACUUCCGAAUCAUGCGAAACUAAAGCUAGAAGUAGUUAGUGUUAGGGUUUGCAAUGGGGAACUGUUGCAGAUCUCCGGCAGCGGUUGCUAGAGAAGAUGUGAAGUCCUCUAACUACUCCGGAAAUGAUCACGGAAGGAAAGACAAGUACAGUGCUGGAAACAAGCAGAAACAGAUCACUGUGUUAACUGAUGUUAAAAAGGAGAAUGUUGAGGAGAGGUAUUUGGUAGAUAGAGAGUUAGGAAGGGGAGAAUUCGGGAUAACUUACCUUUGUAUAGAUCGUAGCAGUAGGGAACUUUUGGCUUGUAAGUCGAUUUCGAAACGGAAGUUACGAACAGCAGUGGAUGUGGAGGAUGUAAGGAGAGAAGUGGCAAUUAUGAAGCAUUUGCCACAGAAUUCAAGUAUUGUGAGUUUUAAGGAAGCGUGUGAGGAUGAAAAUGCGGUUCAUUUGGUGAUGGAACUAUGUGAAGGUGGUGAGCUGUUUGAUAGGAUCGUUGCUAGGGGGCAUUAUACUGAACGAGCAGC